rfam:Tenacibaculum mesophilum strain DSM 13764 genome assembly, contig: Ga0131220_101
UACAUUUGCAUCUUCAAUGUAAAUGCAUUGAGUACAUAAUAAUCAUUUAAAUAAUAUUGGCAUG